UUUUACAGUCAAAUGGACGAUAAGCCAGUGGAAUCAGUUGUCUCCUGAUGUAGCAGAAAUUACUUCACAUGAAGCAUUUUCAAGUUCACUGCUGGGUCUCCAGUAGUGUACUCGCGCGGU
rnacentral:lncRNA from 1 species